ACGGAAGGCAGCAGUGGGGAAUAUUGGGCAAUGGGCGCAAGCCUGACCCAGCAAUGCCGCGUGAAGGAAGAAGGCUUUCGGGUUGUAAACUUCUUUUAAGUGGGACGACAAUGACGGUACCACUUGAAUAAGCUCCGGCUAACUACGUGCCAGCAGCCGCGGUAAUACGUAGGGAGCAAGCGUUAUCCGGAUUUACUGGGUGUAAAGGGUGCGUAGGCGGCAUGGUAAGUCAGUCGUUAAAGACCAGAGCUUAACUCUGGACCAGCGAUUGAAACUAUCAAGCUAGAGUACAGGAGAGGUUAGUGGAAUUACUAGUGUAGAGGUGGAAUUCAUAGAUAUUAGUAAGAACACCAAUGGCGAAGGCAGCUAACUGGCCUGAAACUGACGCUGAGGCACGAAAGUGUGGGGAGCAAACAGGAUUAGAUACCCUGGUA
rnacentral:rRNA from 1 species